CUGAAAUCUGCAGGUCACUGUGGACAUGGUCGUGGUCACCGUGGUUGUGCUCAUGGUGAUGGUGGGACCCUCCUUCAUGGCAGUGACUGCACUGAUGGUACAGCAGGGUCAGGACGCAAAGAAAGCAGAAUCUGAUUCUUUUGCAUACCCAAACUAAAAUGCCACUAAUGACUCAACAGCCGCUAAAAAAUGCUGUCACGACAACAUUAAUCGGCACCUCAACAACGCUCACAGUCCCAAGCCUGUAAGCUCAUCUGAAAUGCCAAACACCUCACCUUGAAAGUAGACCAAAGUUGGCACCACCAGUCAAGGGUGGAGUGAAUAAAAGAAGCAGUCAAUCGGACAACACCUACUUCUUAUACUGCACCAUGAAAAGAAAAAAAACUGCUAUGUGGCCAUCAAAGACCCUCAAGACUGUCACAGAACUACAGUCCAUCCAAAGUUGCAAUAACAUGGCAUUAUCAGUUGUCUAAUACUAGCCUAUUAAAAAGAAUCAGUUCACUUCCAGUAUAAAACAAUUCCUGACCCCCAUAUCAUCCAAGAUGUUCAUGUGUUUCUUCAAUUUCAAAAAAAACCCUCCUGGGCUCUACAUGAUCCCAGCCCAGGAAUAAGGGUCUCAUCUAACGAAAUAGUUGGUAGUUUUCUUUAAAGAAUAAAAAAUCAUAUACUUUUUAACCACAAAUGCUCGUCUUGCACUAGCUCACAUCUUCACGCAUUACGCGAUCGCGCUGGGAAAGUCAUGAACGGUUAGCUCUUCAUCUGUGUACUUCAGUUCAAAAAGAAAGGGUAGGGUAAAACAAUCCCUCAUUUUCACCUCCAACUUCAAAAUUGUCCAACAUUGUAGUUUUACCUUAUUUUGGUUGUUUGACAUCAUUUGCGCGUUCACUUUGUAAACACG